rnacentral:rRNA from 1 species
CCUGGCUCACGAUGAACGCUAGCUACAGGCUUAACACAUGCAAGUCGAGGGGCAGCAUGGUCUUAGCUUGCUAAGGCCGAUGGCGACCGGCGCACGGGUGAGUAACACGUAUCCAACCUGCCGUCUACUCUUGGACAGCCUUCUGAAAGGAAGAUUAAUACAAGAUGGCAUCAUGAGUCCGCAUGUUCACAUGAUUAAAGGUAUUCCGGUAGACGAUGGGGAUGCGUUCCAUUAGAUAGUAGGCGGGGUAACGGCCCACCUAGUCUUCGAUGGAUAGGGGUUCUGAGAGGAAGGUCCCCCACAUUGGAACUGAGACACGGUCCAAACUCCUACGGGAGGCAGCAGUGAGGAAUAUUGGUCAAUGGGCGAGAGCCUGAACCAGCCAAGUAGCGUGAAGGAUGACUGCCCUAUGGGUUGUAAACUUCUUUUAUAAAGGAAUAAAGUCGGGUAUGGAUACCCGUUUGCAUGUACUUUAUGAAUAAGGAUCGGCUAACUCCGUGCCAGCAGCCGCGGUAAUACGGAGGAUCCGAGCGUUAUCCGGAUUUAUUGGGUUUAAAGGGAGCGUAGAUGGAUGUUUAAGUCAGUUGUGAAAGUUUGCGGCUCAACCGUAAAAUUGCAGUUGAUACUGGAUAUCUUGAGUGCAGUUGAGGCAGGCGGAAUUCGUGGUGUAGCGGUGAAAUGCUUAGAUAUCACGAAGAACUCCGAUUGCGAAGGCAGCCUGCUAAGCUGCAACUGACAUUGAGGCUCGAAAGUGUGGGUAUCAAACAGGAUUAGAUACCCUGGUAGUCCACACGGUAAACGAUGAAUACUCGCUGUUUGCGAUAUACAGCAAGCGGCCAAGCGAAAGCGUUAAGUAUUCCACCUGGGGAGUACGCCGGCAACGGUGAAACUCAAAGGAAUUGACGGGGGCCCGCACAAGCGGAGGAACAUGUGGUUUAAUUCGAUGAUACGCGAGGAACCUUACCCGGGCUUAAAUUGCAGAUGAAUUACGGUGAAAGCCGUAAGCCGCAAGGCAUCUGUGAAGGUGCUGCAUGGUUGUCGUCAGCUCGUGCCGUGAGGUGUCGGCUUAAGUGCCAUAACGAGCGCAACCCUUGUUGUCAGUUACUAACAGGUUCCGCUGAGGACUCUGACAAGACUGCCAUCGUAAGAUGUGAGGAAGGUGGGGAUGACGUCAAAUCAGCACGGCCCUUACGUCCGGGGCUACACACGUGUUACAAUGGGGGGUACAGAGGGCCGCUACCACGCGAGUGGAUGCCAAUCCCCAAAACCUCUCUCAGUUCGGACUGGAGUCUGCAACCCGACUCCACGAAGCUGGAUUCGCUAGUAAUCGCGCAUCAGCCACGGCGCGGUGAAUACGUUCCCGGUCCUUGCACACACCGCCC